CCACUACAUUUUUUCUUCUCUUUUUGCAGUUCUCAUUCUCAUCGUUCCUUGUUUUUCUGAGAAAGGUACGUAUCUCUUCCUGCUGUAAAAUUGCCGUGAUUAAUUCUUCUUUGAUUCCAUUUUCUCCUGUCUUGCAAGAUCAAUUGAAAAGAUCGAAUUAAUGAUGAGUCUAAUGAAAAAGCAUGUUUCGAUUUUCUAAAAAAAUGUAAGGAUUUUUUACAUUAUUGGUGUAUUAGUGCAUUGUAAUAUGCUUUAGCAGCUAAUUUAUCUUAUUUUUAAGGUCACUAAUUUCACUUUUUAUGAGAAACUACAUGUAGUUCUCUUUUAGGUGGUUACACGUUAAUAACUGUGUUAACGUAUUGUAAAAAUAUAUAAUGUUUUCAAUUUCGAUAAAAAUGAAGGUGGUAAAAGUAGUUUCGUUUCUAUGCAUGCAGCCCCAUAUUCCACAUUCGCAAAGGACGCUACAUCAGCACCAGAGGUGGUAUUCUUCGAUUAUAUCGUUAUAGGAGGAGGAACUUCUGGCUGUGCGUUAGCAGCAACUCUCUCACAAGGUUCCAAUGUUUUGUUAUUGGAAAGAGGUGGCUUGCCUUAUGGUAACCCAAACAUCACAAACAUUACUGGUUUUGCCAACAAUUUAGCAGACACUUCUCCUUCAUCGCCCGCACAACUCUUCAUCUCUACCGACGGUGUAUUCAACCACCGUGGCCGUGUCUUAGGCGGCGGCUCGGCCGUUAAUGCCGGGUUCUUUUCACGGGCAAGCAAAGGCUACGUUAAGAAAAUGGGAUGGGAUCAAAAGGUAGUGAAUGAAGCCUAUGAAUGGGUUGAAAAGAAAGUGGCGUUUCAGCCUCAGAUAAAGCAGUGGCAAUCGGCAGUGAGAAAUGGUCUUGUGGAAGUAGGGGUGAAACCAUAUAAUGGUUUUACGUAUGAACAUUUGUUUGGAACUAAAGUUGGUGGUACCAUUUUUGAUCCACAAGGUCAUAGGCAUACUGCUGCUGAUUUAUUAGAGUAUGCUGAUCCUACCAAAAUUACUGUUUAUUUGUAUGCAACCGUGCAACAGAUCAUGUUCAAAAAAGAAGGUAACUGCUUAAAUUUUUCCGAACGUAGUUUACAACUUUUAAAACUAUAAAUAUAAAUAUGCCAUAGACAUAUCUGUAACUAUAAAUCAUCUCAAGUUAGAUUAUAUCUAAAUAAGUAUGUUAUUAUUUUGGGACAAACUAAAAAAGAAAGCAUAAAAAUUACGUAUUAUUUUUUGGAGCAGGAAUACUAACACUAUCAUUGAUUUUUACUGAAAAUGAAGCAGGAGGAAGGAAGCCAAGAGCUUAUGGAGUUCGGUUUCUAGAUUCAGAAGGUAAUAGCCACAUGGCGUACUUGAACGAAGGAUCCAAAAACGAGGUCGUUUUGAGCGCUGGAGCAUUGGGAAGCCCACAAAUGUUAAUGUUAAGUGGUAUUGGGCCGGCAAAGCAAUUGAAGGCCCAUGGGAUCUAUAUUUUGGUGGAUCAGCCCAUGGUUGGUAAGGGUAUGUCAGAUAACCCAAUGAAUGCUGUCUUUGUUCCUUCUCCACACCCUGUUGAAGUUUCUCUUAUUCAAGUGGUUGGUAUUACUGGCUUCAAAAGUUACAUUGAAGCUGCCAGCGGGCCUUUGGAGUUGGAUUGGAUGCGAAGGAUUGCCCAUGAUUUUAAAAGAAUAGCUAAUCAGGUGAGAUCACUCUAUAAAACGUAACUAAUCACAGUUAAUUUUUUGUAGUGAAUAAGUAUUAGGCAUUGGUAGCUUAUGUCACUAAUCGAAACAUCAAUUAGACAUAAUUUGACCCGGAAAGAGGCACUAUUCACUAAUCAAACAUUAAUUAGACUCCCAUCACUAAUAAUUUUACUUUCGUAAUCAUAUCCUUUUAACGGGGUUCGCGAGCACCAUAUAAUGGUUACACUGUUUAAUUUAACCUUCAUUUGGACAUGACAAAUUUAUGACAAAGUUUUGAGUGGUGUUUGAAUAAAAUUUUUGGUAUUAAAAGUAGCUUUGAGUCACUUUUGUUUUAAGAAAAUAAAGAUGAAUUUGAGAAGCAGGACAAUUCUUUCAAAAUAACUAUCUAAACAGUUCCACUAGUAAAGAAAUUUUCCAAAAUUAUUCUGAGAAACUGUACAAAUGCCAACCAAGAAUAUGCAUAUGAUUGGAAUUUGUAUAGUAGUAGUAAUUCUGACUAACUAUCAUUUUAAGGGAUUGACUAGAAAAAAGAGAUAGCAUACUUGUAUUGCAGUAUUUAGAGGGAUUUAAUCUAUACAAUCUUUGAUAGUGUAACUUGUAAUAGUACUGGUUAGAUUUCAUUAUGACUUGAUUACCAGUUAAUACAAAUCAUAUAAAUUUACUCAAGUGACAUGAUUGUAAAAAUAGAAGGGUAAAAAUGGUCAUCGGUGAAUUAUUAUUUUUUAUUUUUUUUCAUUUGGUGCAGACCAUGGACCCAUUGAAGGUACCUUCAGAAAUGCAGUUCCCCAAAGGCAUACCUGGGAUCAACCCACACCUUCUACACUCCCCUAUGCAAGCUGGUCUCAUCCUAGAAAAAGUAGCAGGACCAUAUUCAACAGGUUUUCUUCAACUUAAAAGCAAAGACCCAAAUGAAAAUCCAAAAGUAACUUUCAACUACUUCAAAGAUCCAAGAGACUUACAAAGAUGUGUACAAGGCAUGAAAACAAUAGCAGAGGUCAUAGAAUCAAGAUCUUUCUCCAAAUUCAGAUACCCUUAUACUUCAGCACAAUCUUUAAUGGAUACAAUGUUGACUUUUCCAAUUAACUUGAGGCCAAGACAUUUGAGUGCC
rnacentral:lncRNA from 1 species